CCUACGGGGGGCAGCAGUGGGGAAUAUUGCACAAUGGGGGAAACCCUGAUGCAGCAACGCCGCGUGAGUGAGGAAGUAUUUCGGUAUGUAAAGCUCUAUCAGCAGGGAAGAGAAAAGAAGGUACCGGAAAAAGAAGCCCCGGCUAACUACGUGCCAGCAGCCGCGGUAAUACGGAGGGGGCAAGCGUUAUCCGGAUUUACUGGGUGUAACGGGAGCGUAGACGGAAAGGAAAGUCAGAAGGGAAAACCCAAGGCUCAACCAUGGGACUGCGUUUGAAACUGUCAAACUAGAGUACGGGAGAGGUAAGCGGCAUUCCUAGUGUAGCGGUGCACUGCGUAGAUCUUAG
rnacentral:rRNA from 1 species